rnacentral:rRNA from 1 species
UACGGUGGGGGCAAGCGUUGUUCGGAAUUACUGGGCGUAAAGCGCGCGUUAGGCGGCUGAUUAAGUCGGGUGUGAAAGCCCCGGGCUCAACCUGGGAAUUGCAUCCGACUACUGAUUGGCUAGAGUAUGAGAGAGGGAGGUAGAAUUCACGUGUAGCGGUGAAAUGCGUAGAUAUGUGGAGGAAUACCGGUGGCGGAGGCGGCCUCCUGGCUUAAUACUGACGCUGAGGUGCGAAAGCGUGGGAUCAAACAGGAUAGAAACCCC